UGAUUUGGGUUGGUACAUAGGUGAUCCAUAACAUCUAGGUACUCGAAAUAAGAGUUUUCAAAAAUCUGAGAAAUGUUGAAUAUGUUGUCUGACAAUGAAUGUCAGACAUCCUAGAUCUUAGUAUGUUUACUGUUUUGUGUUUUAAAUGUUUCAUCGUGUUAUAUGAUAUGAGAUCUGUGUUCUAGAACUUGUAGAAGGAC
rnacentral:lncRNA from 1 species